rnacentral:rRNA from 1 species
CCUACGGGAGGCAGCAGUCGAGAAUCAUUCACAAUGGGGGAAACCCUGAUGGUGCGACGCCGCGUGGGGGAAUGAAGGUCUUCGGAUUGUAAACCCCUGUCAUGUGGGAGCAAAUUAAAAAGAUAGUACCACAAGAGGAAGAGACGGCUAACUCUGUGCAAGCAGCCGCGGUAAUACAGAGGUCUCAAGCGUUGUUCGGAAUCACUGGGCGUAAGGCGUGCGUAGGCUGUUUCGUAAGUCGUGUGUGAAAGGCGCGGGCUCAACCCGCGGACGGCACAUGAUACUGCGAGACUAGAGUAAUGGAGGGGGAACCGGAAUUCUCGGUGUAGCAGUGAAAUGCGUAGAUAUCGAGAGGAACACUCGUGGCGAAGGCGGGUUCCUGGACAUUAACUGACGCUGAGGCACGAAGGCCAGGGGAGCGAAAGGGAUUAGAUACCCUAGUAGUC